rnacentral:rRNA from 1 species
UACGUAGGGUGCAAGCGUUGUCCGGAAUUAUUGGGCGUAAAGAGCUCGUAGGCGGUUUGUCGCGUCGAAUGUGAAAAACCCGGGGGCUCAACCCCCGGGCCUGCAUUCGAUACGGGCAGACUAGAGUUCGGUAGGGGAGUCUGGAAUUCCUGGUGUAGCGGUGAAAUGCGCAGAUAUCAGGAGGAACACCGGUGGCGAAGGCGGGACUCUGGGCCGAUACUGACGCUGAGGAGCGAAAGCGUGGGGAGCAAACAGG